UACGUAGGGACCAAGCGUUGUUCGGAUUUACUGGGCGUAAAGGGCGCGUAGGCGGCAAUUCAAGUCAGUUGUGAAAUCUCCGAGCUUAACUCGGAACGGUCAACUGAUACUGCUUUGCUAGAGUACAGAAGGGGCAAUCGGAAUUCUUGGUGUAGCGGUGAAAUGCGUAGAUAUCAAGAGGAACACCUGAGGUGAAGACGGGUUGCUGGGCUGAUACUGACGCUGGAGGCGCGAAAGCUAGGGUAGCAAACGGG
rnacentral:rRNA from 1 species